rnacentral:rRNA from 1 species
UCGAGAAUCUUCCACAAUGGACGAAAGUCUGAUGGAGCGACGCCGCGUGAGCGAUGAAGGCCCUACGGGUUGUAAAACUCUGUCAGGAGAGAAGAAUCGCCGGGAUGCCAAUACCAUCCUGGUUUGACGUUAUCUCCAGAGGAAGCUCCGGCUAACUCCGUGCCAGCAGCCGCGGUAAUACGGGGGGAGCAAGCGUUGUCCGGAAUUAUUGGGCGUAAAGGGCGUGUAGGCGGCUUGGUCAGUCGAAUGUGAAAUCCCAGGCUCAACCGUGGAAUUGCGUUCGAUACUGCCUGGCUUGAGUAUGUGAGAGGUGUGCGGAAUUCCUGGUGUAGCGGUGGAAUGCGUAGAUAUCAGGAAGAACACCGAUGGCGAAGGCAGCACACUGGCGCAAUACUGACGCUG